rnacentral:rRNA from 1 species
AUUGAACGCUGGCGGCAGGCCUAACACAUGCAAGUCGAGCGAGCGGCGGACGGGUGCGUAAUGUCUGGGCAACUGCCUGAUGGAGGGGGAUAACUACUGGAAACGGUAGCUAAUACCGCAUAACAUCAGAUGUGCCAAUAUGGGAUGAGCUCGUAGGUGGGGUAAUGGCUCACCUAGGCGACGAUCCCUAGCUGGUCUGAGAGGAUGACCAGUCACACGGGAACUGAGACACGGUCCAGACUCCUACGGGAGGCAGCAGGGGGGAAUAUUGCACAAUGGGCGCAAGCCUGAUGCAGCCAUGCCGCGUGUGUGAAGAAGGCCUUCGGGUUGUAAAGCACUUUCAGCGGGGAGGCGUUACCCGCAGAAGAAGCACCGGCUAACUCCGUGCCAGCAGCCGCGGUAAUUC